UUGCCAGCAGUGACAACGAGCGCGGACACCCCGGAGGACGUUGCGGAGGACAUCGAAGAGCUCCUGACCUGGAUCGACGAGGAAGUGACGGCCAACACAGGCAUCCUGGACGACACCGAAGACAUGGAUGAGCUGCUCGCGUGGAUCAACAACGAAGAGAGACCCAGCACCAGCAGUCUUGCCAGCGAUGUGGAAAUUGACCAUUUCCUCACCUGCAUUG